UACAGAGGUCUCAAGCGUUGUUCGGAUUCAUUGGGCGUAAAGGGUGCGUAGGCGGCGCGGUAAGUCGGGUGUGAAAUCUCGGGGCUUAACUCCGAAACUGCAUUACGAUACUGCCGUGCUUGAGGACUGGAGAGGAGACUGGAAUUUACGGUGUAGCGGUGAAAUGCGUAGAUAUCGAUAAGGAAGACCAGUGGCGAAGGCGG
rnacentral:rRNA from 1 species